GACAGAGGGGGCAAGCGUUGCUCGGAAUUACUGGGCGUAAAGGGCGCGUAGGCGGCCUACUAAGUCAGACGUGAAAUCCCCCGGCUUAACCUGGGAACUGCGUCUGAUACUGGAAGGCUUGAGGAUGGGAGAGGGAUGUAGAAUUCCAGGUGUAGCGGUGAAAUGCGUAGAUAUCUGGAGGAAUACCGGUGGCGAAGGCGGCAUCCUGGACCAUUACUGACGCUGAGGCGCGAAAGCUAGGGGAGCAAACGGG
rnacentral:rRNA from 1 species